rnacentral:rRNA from 1 species
AGAGUUUGAUCCUGGCUCAGAUUGAACGCUGGCGGCAGGCCUAACACAUGCAAGUCGAACGGUAGCACAGAGAGCUUGCUCUCGGGUGACGAGUGGCGGACGGGUGAGUAAUGUCUGGGAAACUGCCUGAUGGAGGGGGAUAACUACUGGAAACGGUAGCUAAUACCGCAUAACGUCGCAAGACCAAAGAGGGGGACCUUCGGGCCUCUUGCCAUCAGAUGUGCCCAGAUGGGAUUAGCUAGUAGGUGGGGUAACGGCUCACCUAGGCGACGAUCCCUAGCUGGUCUGAGAGGAUGACCAGCCACACUGGAACUGAGACACGGUCCAGACUCCUACGGGAGGCAGCAGUGGGGAAUAUUGCACAAUGGGCGCAAGCCUGAUGCAGCCAUGCCGCGUGUAUGAAGAAGGCCUUCGGGUUGUAAAGUACUUUCAGCGGGGAGGAAGGCGAU